UACGAAGGGGGCUAGCGUUGUUCGGAAUUACUGGGCGUAAAGGGCUCGUAGGCGGCCAACUAAGUCGGAUGUGAAAUCCCCAGGCUUAACCUGGGAACUGCAUCCGAUACUGGAUGGCUUGAAUCCGGGAGAGGUGAGUGGAACUGCGAGUGUAGAGGUGAAAUUCGUAGAUAUUCGCAAGAACACCAGUGGCGAAGGCGGCUCACUGGCCCGGUACUGACGCUGAGGUGCGAAAGCGUGGGGAGCAAACAGG
rnacentral:rRNA from 1 species